GACGAACGCUGGCGGCGCGCCUAACACAUGCAAGUCGAGCGGAGAUACUUGAAGGAAGUUUUCGGAUGGAAUUUGAGUAUUUUAGCGGCGGACGGGUGAGUAACGCGUGAGUGACCUGCCUUCCACAGGGGGAUAACGUACCGAAAGGUACACUAAUACCGCAUGAGACCACAGCACUGCCUGGUGCAGGGGUCAAAGGAGCAAUCCGGUGGAAGAUGGACUCGCGUCCGAUUAGAUAGUUGGUGGGGUAACGGCCUACCAAGUCAGCGAUCGGUAGGCGACCUGAGAGGGUGAGCGGACAAAUUGGAACUGAGAGACGGUCCAAACUCCUACGGGAGGCAGCAGUGGGGAAUAUUGGGCAAUGGGGGAAACCCUGACCCAGCGACGCCGCGUGAGGGAAGAAGGUUUUCGGAUUGUAAACCUCUGUUCUUGGUGAAGAGGGAAAGACGGUAGCCAAGGAGGAAGCCCCGGCUAACUACGUGCCAGCCGCCGCGGUAA
rnacentral:rRNA from 1 species